CCCAGAUGGGAUUAGCUAGUAGGUGGGGUAACGGCUCACCUAGGCGACGAUCCCUAGCUGGUCUGAGAGGAUGACCAGCCACACUGGAACUGAGACACGGUCCAGACUCCUACGGGAGGCAGCAGUGGGGAAUAUUGCACAAUGGGCGCAAGCCUGAUGCAGCCAUGCCGCGUGUAUGAAGAAGGCCUUCGGGUUGUAAAGUACUUUCAGCGGGGAGGAAGGGAGUAAAGUUAAUACCUUUAAUCAUUGACGUUACCCGCAGAAGAAGCACCGGCUAACUCCGUGCCAGCAGCCGCGGUAAUACGGAGGGUGCAAGCGUUAAUCGGAAUUACUGGGCGUAAAGCGCACGCAGGCGGUUUGUUAAGUCAGAUGUGAAAUCCCCGGGCUCAACCUGGGAACUGCAUCUGAUACUGGCAAGUUUGAGUCUCGUAGAGGGGGGUAGAAUUCCAGGUGUAGCGGUGAAAUGCGUAGAGAUCUGGAGGAAUACCGGUGGCGAAGGCGGCCCCCUGGACGAAGACUGACGCUCAGGUGCGAAAGCGUGAGGAGCAAACAGGAUUAGAUACCCUGGUAGUCCACGCCGUAAACGAUGUCGACUUGGAGGUUGUGCCCUUGAGGCGUGGCUUCCGGAGCUAACGCGUUAAGUCGACCGCCUGGGGAGUACGGCCGCAAGGUUAAAACUCAAAUGAAUUGACGGGGGCCCGCACAAGCGGUGGAGCAUGUGGUUUAAUUCGAUGCAACGCGAAGAACCUUACCUGGUCUUGACAUCCACGGAAGUUUUCAGAGAUGAGAAUGUGCCUUCGGGAACCGUGAGACAGGUGCUGCAUGGCUGUCGUCAGCUCGUGUUGUGAAAUGUUGGGUUAAGUCCCGCAACGAGCGCAACCCUUAUCCUUUGUUGCCAGCGGUCCGGCCGGGAACUCAAAGGAGACUGCCAGUGAUAAACUGGAGGAAGGUGGGGAUGACGUCAAGUCAUCAUGGCCCUUACGACCAGGGCUACACACGUGCUGCAAUGGCGCAUACAAAGAGAAGCGACCUCGCGAGAGCAAGCGGACCUCAUAAAGUGCGUC
rnacentral:rRNA from 1 species